GAUAAACGCUGGCGGCGCACAUAAGACAUGCAAGUCGAACGGACUUAACCUAAAAGUUUACUUUUUGGAGCGGUUAGUGGCGGACUGGUGAGUAACAUGUAAGCAAUCUGCCUAUCAGAGGGGAAUAACAGUGAGAAAUCAUUGCUAAUACCGCAUAUGCCAUAGUUAUCGCAUGAUAAUAGUGGGAAAGGAGCAAUCCGCUGAUAGAUGAGCUUGCACCUGAUUAGCUAGUUGGUGGGGUAACGGCCUACCAAGGCGACGAUCAGUAGCCGGACUGAGAGGUUGAACGGCCACAUUGGGACUGAGAUACGGCCCAG
rnacentral:rRNA from 1 species